rnacentral:rRNA from 2 species
AAACGACUCUCGGCAACGGAUAUCUCGGCUCACGCAUCGAUGAAGAACGUAGCAAAAUGCGAUACUUGGUGUGAAUUGCAGAAUCCCGUGAACCAUCGAGUUUUUGAACGCAAGUUGCGCCCAAAGCCAUCCGGCUGAGGGCACGCCUGCCUGGGCGUCACG